rnacentral:rRNA from 1 species
UGGGGAAUAUUGGACAAUGGGCGAAAGCCUGAUCCAGCCAUGCCGCGUGUGUGAAGAAGGUCUUCGGAUUGUAAAGCACUUUAAGUUGGGAGGAAGGGCAGUUACCUAAUACGUAUCUGUUUUGACGUUACCGACAGAAUAAGCACCGGCUAACUCUGUGCCAGCAGCCGCGGUAAUACAGAGGGUGCAAGCGUUAAUCGGAAUUACUGGGCGUAAAGCGCGCGUAGGUGGUUUGUUAAGUUGGAUGUGAAAUCCCCGGGCUCAACCUGGGAACUGCAUUCAAAACUGACAAGCUAGAGUAUGGUAGAGGGUGGUGGAAUUUCCUGUGUAGCGGUGAAAUGCGUAGAUAUAGGAAGGAACACCAGUGGCGAAGGCGACCACCUGGACUGAUACUGACACUGAGGUGCGAAAGCGUGGGUAGCGAACAGGAUUAGAUACCCACGUAGUCCCUGAGCGGGCUGGCAAGGCGCAU